UCAGUCACUCAGAGCUCACCUAGAUACCAUGGCUGCCAUGUUGAAAAACUUAAGAGAGUUCAAACUGAAGACUAGAUUAGGAGCAGCAAAUUUUUUUUCUGGGAAAAGCUAGAUUGUCAAUAUUUCCAUCUUUGUGGGCUAUACUAUCUCUGUUGCAACUACUCAACUCUGCCGCAUAAAAGCAACCAUAGACAAAUAUGUAAUAAUGAAUUUGUUCCAACAAAAUCCUAUUACAGAAACAGGCUGCGUUUGUCCCAUGGGCUAUAGUUUGCUGAGCCCUGUCCUAGGUGAAGAGUACUCCUGGGAGUUGAGAAGUGCACUACACAGCAUGUACGGUCCUUUCUAGUAGCCCCGUCUGGCUGUAUACCUUUGUGGACACAAAUUAGGAUAAAUUUCAUAGCCCUUCACAGCUCGAGUUUUCAUUAAUUGUGAACUAAAAUACACAGUCAUGAAAUAUUUCAAAAGUAUGUGUUACUGAAUUAAAGUGAACACAUGAGUUUAUGUCCGUGAAUCCAUUUCUCCUGCUGAGAUUUAUUAAGAAAAUAAAGCUAGGUUUGUGUUUAUGAGAAUUAAUGCAAUGCUACACUUAGAGCAUUUGCAAGUACUUUAAAAAUGCUGUCACUUUUUAAAAAUUUUUGUUUUCUUUUACUGAUGAGGAAGUUCAUAGUAAUUAAUCCGCAAAGCCAGGAAGUGAACAAGAUCAUUGGACUCCAUAACUUGUGCCUCUCCUACAGCACCUGCUGCCUCAAAAGAAGGAGCUACUACCUACAGAAUCUGAACCCACAGAGGUUAAAAGAGUUUGAUAAAAUCCCACCUUGUCAGCAGCAGACAGAAUGAACACAAUUCUACCACCUGGAUGGAAAUGCAGCCACAGAGGUGUUGAUAAAGCUGUCACAGCAAGAUGGAGAUGGUCAUUGUGCUUUGAUGCCUGCCUCCAUAACCCUGUCCUGGAUCCAAUCAACCAGCUUUGAGAACCACCCUGAAGACACAGACAAGAGCACCUCAGAUAAAGAAACUAAGGCACAGGAAAGUUAAGAGACUUGCCCAGGGUCACACAGCUAGCAAGUGAAUGAACUUGGAUUCCAGGAUGAGUGAUCAAGAACCAGAUCGACUUCUUAACUGUACAAGAUAGGAAGUUCAUCUGGAUUUACGAUUCUGAUCCUGCUGAGGGCCAACUGCUGGCAGGAAUGACAUGAGGGGCCAUGGAGGUUUGAGGUGGAGGUGGGGGUGGAGGUGGAGGCUUACAGAUACAGAUCAAGCCUGGAACUUACAAGUAAAAGAGCCAGUAACCAAUGCCAAGAGGCAGAGAAGGCAGUGGUUAGUAACGUGGACUGAACUUGAAGCCUGGGCUUGAAUUCUAGCUUUGCCAUCUAGCAGUCAUGAAACCUUGGGCAAAUGAUUUCAUCUCCUUCUGCCUCAAUUUCCUCCUCUAUAACAUGGGGAUAUACUACUACCUAUCUCGUAGAGUUGCUGCAAUAAUUACAUGUGUCUACUUUCAUAAAGCAUUGAGUACAGAACCUGUCAUAAGGUGAAUACUAAAUAAAAUGAAUCCAUUAGAGGAAAGAGUUGCAACUUUUCGUGUCUUAGCGGGAAGUUGGGGAAGCAGUGACCCAACUGGGGAAUUCCAUGCUUGUUUUGCCUUUAACAAAGGAAACUAAAUCCUUGGUUGAAAACAAAACAAAACUGGUGGCUGGUGUCACACUGAAACUUACAUAUAUGCUUUGAGCCACUUGCCUAUGCAAGCCCACCACCAGUUCCUGCCUCACUUCUCUCCCCUUCUCAUCCACAUGUCAGGAGAGAGGGGCUGCAGGUCCGCAUGCCUUGAGCUGCCUACCUAGUGAUAUUUAAUUAAUCUAUUCAUUU